GCCCAGGUGGCGGAAUUGGUAGACGCGCUAGCUUCAGGUGCUAGUGACCGAAAGGUCGUGUAAGUUCGAGUCUUAUCCUGGGCACCA
rnacentral:tRNA from 3 species